rnacentral:rRNA from 1 species
AACGAACGCUGGCGGCAUGCCUAACACAUGCAAGUCGAACGAGACCUUCGGGUCUAGUGGCGCACGGGUGCGUAACGCGUGGGAACCUGCCCUUAGGUUCGGAAUAACUCCCCGAAAGGGGUGCUAAUACCGGAUCAUGUCUUCGGACCAAAGAUUUAUCGCCUUUGGAUGGGCCCGCGUGGGAUUAGCUAGUUGGUAGGGUAAAAGCCUACCAAGGCGACGAUCCAUAGCUGGUCUGAGAGGAUGAUCAGCCACACUGGGACUGAGACACGGCCCAGACUCCUACGGGAGGCAGCAGUGGGGAAUAUUGGACAAUGGGCGAAAGCCUGAUCCAGCAAUGCCGCGUGAGUGAUGAAGGCCUUAGGGUUGUAAAGCUCUUUUACCCGGGAUGAUAAUGACAGUACCGGGAGAAUAAGCUCCGGCUAACUCCGUG